rnacentral:tmRNA from 1 species
GGGGGUGACUGGUUUCGACAGGGAGGGAUGUUACGUCGUUGCAAGCGGAGACGCCUGACACUCCUUAAACGGGCACCUAAAUAUAACUGGCGAACGACAAUUCGCUCUCGCUGCUUAAUUUAGCUGCGACAGCUUCUUCCAGACCGGUCGAGCGUCUGGUCGAAGCUGACACUUAGCUCGACUGCUGUGGGGCCGACGCUACUACGCUCCGCCUAAGACUCGCGUAGCUCGCCUGACGUGAUUGGGUUGGCUUGGAUCCCGUUAGGCUAAACUAACAAGCCAGCUAAGCUUGUAGACGCGGCGCUGCUAACUUCUUGGACGUGGGUUCGAUUCCCACCACCUCCACUC